GAUGAACGCUAGCUACAGGCUUAACACAUGCAAGUCGAGGGGCAGCGGUAUCGAAAGCUUGCUUUCGGUAGCCGGCGACCGGCGCACGGGUGAGUAACGCGUAUCGAACCUGCCUCAUACUCGGGAAUAGCCUUGCGAAAGUAAGAUUAAUGCCCGGUGUUUUCAGAGUCCCGCAUGAGGCUUUGAACAAAGAUUUAUCGGUAUGAGAUGGCGAUGCGUCCCAUUAGCUUGUUGGCGGGGUAACGGCCCACCAAGGCAUCGAUGGGUAGGGGUUCUGAGAGGAAGGUACCCCACAUUGGAACUGAGACACGGUCCAAACUCCUACGGGAGGCAGCAGUGAGGAAUAUUGGUCAAUGGGCGGAAGCCUGAACCAGCCAAGUAGCGUGCAGGAAGACGGCCCUCCGGGUUGUAAACUGCUUUUAGUUGGGAAUAAAACGGGGCUCGUGAGCCCCCUUGCAUGUACCAUCAGAAAAAGGACCGGCUAAUUCCGUG
rnacentral:rRNA from 1 species